UUUAACCUGAUUCUUCGGAUGAAGGUCUUUGUGACUGAGUGGCGGACGGGUGAGUAACGCGUGGGUAACCUGCCUCAUACAGGGGGAUAACAGUUAGAAAUGACUGCUAAUACCGCAUAAGACCACGGAGCCGCAUGGCUCAGUGGGAAAAACUCCGGUGGUAUGAGAUGGACCCGCGUCUGAUUAGGUAGUUGGUGGGGUAACGGCCUACCAAGCCAACGAUCAGUAGCCGACCUGAGAGGGUGACCGGCCACAUUGGGACUGAGACACGGCCCAAACUCCUACGGGAGGCAGCAGUGGGGAAUAUUGCACAAUGGGGGAAACCCUGAUGCAGCGACGCCGCGUGAGCGAAGAAGUAUUUCGGUAUGUAAAGCUCUAUCAGCAGGGAAGAAAAUGACGGUACCUGACUAAGAAGCACCGGCUAAAUACGUGCCAGCAGCCGCGGUAAUACGUAUGGUGCAAGCGUUAUCCGGAUUUACUGGGUGUAAAGGGAGCGUAGACGGCUGUGUAAGUCUGAAGUGAAAGCCCGGGGCUCAACCCCGGGACUGCUUUGGAAACUAUGCAGCUAGAGUGUCGGAGAGGUAAGUGGAAUUCCCAGUGUAGCGGUGAAAUGCGUAGAUAUUGGGAGGAACACCAGUGGCGAAGGCGGCUUACUGGACGAUGACUGACGUUGAGGCUCGAAA
rnacentral:rRNA from 1 species